UACAGAGGUCCCAAGCGUUGUCCGGAUUUAUUGGGCGUAAAGAGCGUGUAGGCGGCCACACAGGUCAGCUGUGAAAACUCGAGGCUCAACCUCGAGACGUCGGUUGAAACCGUAUGGCUAGAGUCCGGAAGAGGAGAGUGGAAUUCCCGGUGCAGCGGUGAAAUGCGCAGAUAUCGGGAAGAACACCCGUGGCGAAGGCGGCUCUCUGGGACGGUACUGACGCUGAGACGCGAAAGCGUGGGGAGCGAGCAGG
rnacentral:rRNA from 1 species